UGGCGGCGUGCCUAACACAUGCAAGUCGAACGAGAAAGUGGAGCAAUCCAUGAGUAAAGUGGCGACCGGGUGAGUAACACGUGACUAACCUACCUCCGAGUGGGGAAUAACUCCGGGAAACCGGGGCUAAUACCGCAUAACAUCGCAAGAUCAAAGCAGCAAUGCGCUUGGAGAGGGGGGUCGCGGCUGAUUAGCUCGUUGGCGGGGUAACGGCCCACCAAGGCGAAGAUCGGUAUCCGGCCUGAGAGGGCGCACGGACACACUGGAACUGAAACACGGUCCAGACUCCUACGGGAGGCAGCAGUGGGGAAUUUUGCGCAAUGGGGGAAACCCUGACGCAGCAACGCCGCGUGGAGGAUGAAGCCCUUUGGGGCGUAAACUCCUUUCGACUCGGACGAUAAUGACGGUACGAGUGGAAGAAGCACCGGCUAACUCUGUGCCAGCAGCCGCGGUAAUACAGAGGGUGCGAGCGUUGUUCGGAAUUAUUGGGCGUAAAGGGCGCGUANGCGGUGCGGUAAGUCACCUGUGAAAUCUCCUGGCUUAACUGGGAGUCUGCAGGCGAAACUACCGUGCUGGAGUGUG
rnacentral:rRNA from 1 species